UCCUCUGGUGCAUUUGAGAGUGGAGGU
rnacentral:piRNA from 1 species